rnacentral:RNase_P_RNA from 2 species
ACAGCUCGAAAGCUACGAGGCUCACUCCGCACAAAAGACGCGUCUUUGCACGGGUCUUCUCUCGUGAGCGGGUUAAGGUCUGAGUAUUCCAAUCCCCCUCGAUCGACUCUAGCCGGGUCCUGUCCUAAUGGGCAGCGCGACGUACCAGAAAGGCAGUGGCCGAGUCAUUUAUGCUUGAUGACCAUUAUGUGGGAGAGCGACGGUAGUUUGCUCACUUUGAAAGGCGUCGCGGGGAUUGGGUGGUUUUUUCUCCCGAUGAACGUGGUUUCUUAGUCGCUCGCCUGCGGUUGUCGUGUUGUCUCAAGCUCAGCCUUUGAGACGACGCACCAAUGUAGUAACGCCACCACCUUACGGGCGUUUCCACACGCUUCGUCAUCCAACGGUCAUCACGACCCCUACCUGCUAUCACAGCACCUCCUACAGCGUUCCUACACGCUUUGUCGUCCAACCACGGACACUGGCUGGGCAUCACGACCCCUGCAUUGGUUUCACGAAAUCAUUCGUGCGCUGUAUGGCGAGUGACAACGGAUUCCGUCGUUUGUUUAGGUCGAGUGAUUCCACCCUUGAGUGCACUUCGUAGCUCGCGGUACACCUGCGAAACUCGAUUCAGACUACUCUCGGGCUGU